rnacentral:rRNA from 1 species
UGGUUGGACAAAAAGUAAGCUGUCUCAAUUAUAAUAAUUGAACUUAACUUUUAAGUGAAAAGGCUUAAAUAAAUUAGGGGGACGAUAAGACCCUAUAAAGCUUGACAAUAAUUUAAUUAUACUAUCAAUUGUUAGUGUAACUUGGUUUUAAUUAAAAUUUGUUGCGUUGGGGCGACGAGAAUAUAAUAGGUAACUGUUCUUAAAUAUUUAAUAACAAAUAUAAUUGAAAAUUAGUAUGAUCCUCUAUUAGCGAUUAAAAGAUUAAGUUACUUUAGGGAUAACAGCGUAAUCU